rnacentral:tRNA from 1 species
AUCACUAAGAAGCUUAUCAUCAGCAUCAGCCUUUUAAGUUGAAGAGGAAGAAUUUCCUUAGUGGUA